UACAGAGGGGUGCGAGCGUUAAUCGGAAUUACUGGGCGUAAAGCGUGCGUAGACGGCUAUCUAAGUCGGGUGUGAAAGCCCCGGGCUCAACCUGGAAUUGCAUUCGAGACUGAAUAGCUAGGGUACGGUAGAGGGAAGCGGAAUUUCCGGUGUAGCGGUGGAAAUGCGUAGAUAUCGGAAGGAACAUCAGUGGCGAAAGCGGCUUCCUGGACCAGUACCGACGGCAGGCACGAA
rnacentral:rRNA from 1 species